rnacentral:rRNA from 1 species
UACGUAGGGUGCAAGCGUUAAUCGGAAUUACUGGGCGUAAAGCGUGCGCAGGCGGUUUUGUAAGUCUGAUGUGAAAUCCCCGGGCUCAACCUGGGAAUUGCAUUGGAGACUGCAAGGCUAGAAUCUGGCAGAGGGGGGAAGAAUUCCACGUGUAGCAGUGAAAUGCGUAGAGAUGUGGAGGAACACCGAUGGCGAAGGCAGCCCCCUGGGUCAAGAUUGACGCUCAUGUACGAAAGCGUGGGGAGCAAACAGG